GCAAGUCGAACGAGAAAGUUCCUGCUUGCAGGAACGAGUAGAGUGGCGCACGGGUGAGUAACACGUGGAUAAUCUACCUUUUAAUCGGGAAUAACUAUUCGAAAGGGGAGUAAUACCGGAUGAAGUUUUCAUGCCUUUGGGUGUGAAGAUGAAAGGGAGCCUCUGAUAUAAGCUUCUGUUUGAAGAUGAGUCCGCGUACCAUUAGCUGGCUGGUGGGGUAAAGGCCUACCAGGGCGACGAUGGUUAGCUGGUCUGAGAGGAUGAUC
rnacentral:rRNA from 1 species